AUGAACGCUGGCGGCGUGGAUAGGGCAUGCAAGUCAAGGGGACCGCAAGGUAACCGGCAGACGAGAUAGUAUAAAAUAGGUAACAAACCCAAGAGUCAGGAAUAGCUUGUCGAAAGACAAGGUAAUACUUGAUGGCCCGUGCGUGAACUUUGAACAUAAAUUUUUUGUGUUUAAAGUUCACGUACGGUAAAGAUUUAUCGCUUUUGGAUUGGCCUGUUCGGUAUCAGCUAGUUGGUAGGGUAAUGGCCUACCAAGGCAAUGACGCCUAGGGGAAGUGAGAGCUUGAUCCCCAUCGAUGGAACUGAGACACGGUCCAUACACCUACGGGUGGCUGCAGUCGAGAAUAUUCGACAAUGGGCGAAAGCCUGAUCGAGCGACGCCGCGUGGAGGAAGAAGUGCUUCGGCAUGUAAACUCCUUUUGUAGACUAGUAAUUUUUGAACAGUCUAAGAAUAAGAGGUUGCUAAACUCGU
rnacentral:rRNA from 1 species